rnacentral:lncRNA from 1 species
GACUGACUGAACUGAACUGACUGAAGGGAAGACAUACUGACUGACUGAACUGAACUGACUGAAGGGAAGGCAUACUGACUGACUGAACUGACUGAAGGGAAGACAUACUGACUGACUGAACUGACUGAAGGGAAGACAUACUGACUGAACUGAACUGAAGGGAAGACAUACUGACUGAACUGAACUGAAGGGAAGGCAUACUGACUGAACUGAACUGACUGAAGGGAAGGCAUACUGACUGAACUGAACUGACUGAAGGGAAGACAUACUGACUGAACUGAACUGACUGAAGGGAAGACAUACUGACUGAACUGAACUGGCUGAAGGGAAGACAUACUGACGAACUGGCUGAAGGGAAGACUGACUGACUGAACUGGCUGAAGGGAAGACUGACUGACUGAACUGGCUGAAGGGACGACUGACUGAAGGGAAGACUGACUGACUGAACUGGCUGAAGGGAAGACUGACUGACUGAACUGGCUGAAGGGAAGGAAGACUGACUGACUGAACUGGCUGAAGGGACGACAGACUGACUGAACUGACUGAAGGGAAGACUGACUGACUGAACUGGCUGAAGGGAAGACUGACUGACUGAACUGGCUGAAGGGACGACUGACUGAACUGACUGAAGGGAAGACUGACUGACUGAACUGACUGAAGGGAAGACUGACUGACUGAACUGACUGAAGGGAAGACUGACUGACUGAACUGAACUGAUUGAAGGGAAGACUGACUGACUGAACUGAACUGACUGAAGGGAAGACUGACUGAACUGAACUGACUGAAGGGAAGACUGACUGACUGAACUGAACUGACUGAAGGGAAGACUGACUGACUGAACUGAACUGACUGAAGGGAAGACUGACUGACUGAACUGAACUGACUGAAGGGAAGACUGACUGACUGAACUGAACUGACUGAAGGGAAGACUGACUGACUGAACUGAACUGACUGAAGGGAAGACUGACUGACUGACUGACUGAACUGAACUGACUGAAGGGAAGACUGACUGACUGAACUGAACUGACUGAAGGGAAGACUGACUGACUGAACUGAACUGACUGAAGGGAAGACUGACUGACUGAACUGAACUGACUGAAGGGAAGACUGACUGACUGAACUGGCUGAAGGGAAGACUGACUGAACUGGCUGAAUGGAAGACUGACUGACUGAACUGACUGAAGGGAAGACUGACUGACUGAACUGGCUGAAGGGAAGACUGACUGACUGAACUGGCUGAAGGGAAGACUGACUGACUGAACUGGCUGAAGGGACGACUGACUGAAGGGAAGACUGACUGACUGAACUGGCUGAAGGGAAGACUGACUGACUGAACUGGCUGAAGGGAAG